GCGGGAGUGAUGUAAAGGCCAACAUUCGAGUCUUCCAAACUCGUUCUGCGGGUUCGAGUCCCGCCUUCCGCA
rnacentral:tRNA from 1 species